rnacentral:lncRNA from 1 species
AUGGCGGUGGGGGUGGGGAGGUUGUACACAACAGCUAGCCCUGCCCCCCUCUUUUCAUGGGACACAAGGAAGCCAAGACAAGGUGGGGGUGGCCACCUAUAUUUGCAUGCGAUCUUUCUCCACCAGACCCAGGGCCACUCAAGGAAGCUGUGCGACAAGCUGAGCAGAACAGCAGAGUCAGCCUGGCCUGGCCUUUCUUCCGGAGCCCGAGGUGCACGACAGAGUACCCACAAAACCCCACAUUGGGACAAAGAGAAGGACGCCCGGAUUCUCCCUGCCAGCUCCUCCCACCCGCUUCCAGUCCGCCAGCCCCUCUCCUGCCUCGCUGAGCACCUGGACGCCCGCUCUGGACAUUGUCUCCCCGCCCCCACCUUGGACCACGCUGGACCCCAAGGGCGAUGGCCGCCUGCAGCUGGGUACCCUUGCAUGCAAAACGAGGGGCUGGGGUGUCACCCCCAAGAGGGACAGAAUGAAGGAGGAGGAUCAGCGAGACCUGGAAGUGAAUCCUGAGAGCAUCUGAAGCUGGACUUAGUUAUAUGCAUUUGGUCUUUGCUGGUCUUUCCUUAUAUUUUUAUCCUACUGUCCUGCUAACCAUUGAAUGCAGCCCUUGCUUCGUAGGGCUCUCCCAGUGUCCCUGUCCCUGCCCCGUUCUUGCUGUAGCUGCUGGUGGGGGUGGGGGGUGUGGGGGCUGGGGAGUCAGGGACCAGAGCUUCCUCUGGAAGCUUAGAGGGGACCAGGCGUUUUCACCACAGCUGAGCAGGUGGGACAAGCACCCCCAGCCCUCCGGCACCCGGGGCCCAGCGGGAUUUUGCCAAGGUGUCGAGGGCUGGCAGGGCCAUGUGGCUGUUUGAUUUCCCCCCACUUCCAAACUAGUUGAAAUUACACACCAAGCAUCGAUUUAAUUAAGUUUUCCGGUGUGUGGCAUAAUUAGGAAGACACACGACUGGAACAGGGUGGGCGGGCCCAUCCCAGUUCCUGCCUGUUAGAAUUCUCAGCCCUCAGGCCACAAAAUAUGGCAAGUCGUAGGAUGGGGGAUGCAGGAGACGGAGAGCCAGCCGGAGCUGCCACCUCGCUCCGCCAGCUUCUGUCUCCAAGUGAUGGGAGGGGGGCAGGUGGCCCUGCCUCUACAGGGACUCUCCCCCACACCUGGUGCCAGGCAUUGAACUUGAGUGAAGCUCAGGGAGCUUGUCACCCUCACGGGGACAUCAGAAGGGACAGUAUGGAGUUAGAGAGGGGCCUUGCUGUUGCGGUAGGAUCAGUGCUUUAUCUAUAAGGACGUGCGCCCGGGACAGAGUCACUCGGGGCCUGUUUGCCACAGGGACUGCCAGCCUCU